rnacentral:rRNA from 1 species
AAGUCGUAACAAGGUUUCCGUAGGUGAACCUGCGGAAGGAUCAUUGUCGAAACCUGCCUAGCAGAACGACCCGUGGACAUGUAUUAAAAACCGGGCGUUGUGGGGACGGAGCCUCGGCCCCUGACCGAUGACGCCCUGUCGACAAGCGCUCGUUGUUCGCUCUUACGGGUGCUGCGUUUGUCUUGUCGACGCAAUAACCAACCCCGGCACGGAACGUGCCAAGGAACCUACAACUUAAGAAGCGCACGUCUUGCGUCGCCCCGUUUGCGGUGUGCGCGCGGGCUUGUUGCCUCUUAGAAUCACAAACGACUCUCGGCAACGGAUAUCUCGGCUCACGCAUCGAUGAAGAACGUAGCAAAAUGCGAUACUUGGUGUGAAUUGCAGAAUCCCGUGAACCAUCGAGUUUUUGAACGCAAGUUGCGCCCGAAGCCAUUCGGCCGAGGGCACGUCUGCCUGGGCGUCACGCAUCGCGUCGCCCCCCACAACGCCUCCCCAACGGGAGCGCGCCUUGUGUCGGGGGCGGAGAUUGGCCUCCUGUGCUUGUGGCGCUGUUGGCCUAAAAUGAGUCCCCUUCGGCAGAUGCACGACUAGUGGUGGUUGUCAAGGCCCUCGUUUCUUGUCGUGUGUCAUGUGUCUCUAGGUGUGUCUUGCAAAGACCCUAACGCGUCGUCUCCUGACGAUGCUUCGACCGCGACCCCAGGUCAGGCGGGACUACCCGCUGAGUUUAA